rnacentral:ncRNA from 4 species
UACGUAGGUGGCAAGCGUUGUCCGGAAUUAUUGGGCGUAAAGCGCGCGCAGGCGGUCUCUUAAGUCUGAUGUGAAAGCCCACGGCUCAACCGUGGAGGGUCAUUGGAAACUGGGGGACUUGAGUACUGGAGAGGAGAGUGGAAUUCCAUGUGUAGCGGUGAAAUGCGUAGAUAUAUGGAGGAACACCAGUGGCGAAGGCGGCUCUCUGGCCAGUAACUGACGCUGAGGCGCGAAAGCGUGGGGAGCAAACAGG